CCUACGGGGGGCUGCAGUGGGGAAUAUUGGACAAUGGGGGGAACCCUGAUCCAGCCAUGCCGCGUGUGUGAAGAAGGCCCUCGGGGUGGAAAGCACUUUCAGUGAGGAAGAACGCCUGGUGGUUAAUACCCAUCAGGAAAGACAUCACUCACAGAAGAAGCACCGGCUAACUCCGUGCCAGCAGCCGCGGUAAUACGGAGGGUGCGAGCGUUAAUCGGAAUUACUGGGCGUAAAGCGCGCGUAGGUGGCUUGAUAAGCCGGUUGUGAAAGCCCCGGGCUCAACCUGGGAACGGCAUCCGGAACUGUCAAGCUAGAGUGCAGGCGAGGAAGGUAGAAUUCCCGGUGUAGCGGUGAAAUGCGUAGAGAUCGGGAGGAAUACCAGUGGCGAAGGCGGCCUUCUGGACUGACACUGACACUGAGGUGCGAAAGCGUGGGUAGCAAACAGGAUUAGAUACCCUAGUAGUC
rnacentral:rRNA from 1 species